UUUAUGGUUUUUUUUAGUACAGUCAAAUAAUUAUAAUGUUAAAAAUAAAAUUCUUUUAUUUAAGAAAAAAACUAUUCUGCACUGCUAAGAGAAAUGUAUUUAGAAAUGGAGCACUCUCUUUCUUUUUGGAAUAAUGCGGCUUGAAGUUUUUCAAUUUACAUAGAAAUUUAUAUGAAAAUGCCAGUCUUUGGGAAAUAGUUAAUUUUGGCAUUGUCCCUCAGUGUUGAUCCUAUUCACCUAACACUAGCAUUAAAAGUUACUUAAUUUGGAAUACGAUUAACCCUUGAUCUAUUACAGAUUUAGAUUAGCUUUUAGACUUUAUGGCACAUCGGCACGGUUUAGACUAUGUAUCUAUUGCAAGGAAAAUCAUUUGCUUGAAAAUUAAAAGUGAAAAAUUUUACUUUAUUUUUAUUUUUAAAUAUGUUUUUU